UUCUACGACAUCUAUAUAACCUUGCAGUAAAAGGCGCACCAGUGUAAAGGAUCUGGUCUAUAUUUGCGUUUGCUUCAGACCAAAAUGUUUCAUAUUAAGAAGUCAUUAACUUGACUGCAGUUACUCUUUCUCCUGCAUG